rnacentral:rRNA from 1 species
CAGCUCUUCAAGUGGUCGGGAUAAUUAUUGGGCUUAAAGUGUCCGUAGCCGGUUUAGUAAGUUCCUGGUAAAAUCGGGUAGCUUAACUAUCCGUAUGCUAGGAAUACUGCUAUACUAGAGGGCGGGAGAGGUCUGAGGUACUACAGGGGUAGGGGUGAAAUCUUAUAAUCCUUGUAGGACCACCAGUGGCGAAGGCGUCAGACUGGAACGCGCCUGACGGUGAGGGACGAAAGCCAGGGGAGCAAACCGGAUUAGAGACCCGAGUAGUCC